rnacentral:rRNA from 1 species
UCGGGAAUUUUGUGCAAUGGGCGAAAGCCUGACACAGCAACGCCGCGUGAAGGAUGAAGUCCCUCGGGAUGUAAACUUCGUAAGAAUAGGAAGAAUAAAUGACGGUACUAUUUGUAAGGUCCGGCUAACUACGUGCCAGCAGCCGCGGUAAUACGUAGGGACCAAGCGUUGUUCGGAUUUACUGGGCGUAAAGGGUGCGUAGGCGGCAUAUCAAGUCACUUGUGAAAUCUCCGGGCUUAACUCGGAACUGCCAAGUGAUACUGAUGUGCUAGAGUGCAGAAAGGGCAACUGGAAUUCUUGGUGUAGCGGUGAAAUGCGUAGAUAUCAAGAGGAACACCUGAGGCGAAGGCGAGUUGCUAGGCUGACACUGGCGCUGAGGUACGAAAGCUAGGGGAGCGAACGGGAUUAGAUACCCCAGUAGUCCCUGAGCGGGCUGGCAAGGCGCAU